GUUUACGGCGGGUCGUGCAGGGACACCCGCCAGGGUGUGCCGGUCCUUAGUCCGGUCGACCAACCUUGCACGGCCUGCCACCUUU
rnacentral:antisense_RNA from 1 species